UUUUAUUAUACCACCUACCACCUACCACCCCCUCCCCAAAUGUCUGUUCUAUAUAAGCUGGUUUUUCAUCAGCAAUGGAUAUGUUAUGUUGUGGGAGAGGGAUGUGUGUGAGGGAAAGGGGGCAGAAAUAGUUAUCCCAGUGAAUGUAGGCUCCGAGAUUGUGUCCAGGCCAAUGGAAAUGUUUUUGAAUUGUUACUGUAAAUUAGCAUAUUAAAGGUAUAAGAAUAGUUUUAUUUUCUGCUCUUUCUCCCCAAAUCCCCCCCACUACAUACAACUAGUUGUAUAUUCUAGUUGUGAGUACCUCUGGUUGAGCUAUGAGGGAUGCCGCCUCAGCAUGGCGUGAUGAGCAGUGCCAUGUCCGCGCCCAGGAUCCGAUCCGGUGAAACCCUGGGCUGCUGAAGCAGAAUGCGUGAACCUUACCACUGGGCCACAGGGCCAGCCCCAAGAAUAGUUUUUAAAAGAUAGAAGGUUACAAUGUGAAAAUCUUCAGCAGCAUAAGGUUUACUAUUACAUGAUUCUAAAACAAUGGAAGGAAAGAUCAAACGGUAUCUUUCGUGUAACAUUUAUUAAGCCUCUGUUCCAAGUCCUGGGCUAGGUGCUGGGGAGCACAGAUGAAUAAGGCAUUUUUUUUUGCCCUUGAAUAACUCACAUUCUUGUGGGGGACACAGACAUGUGAGCAUAUAAUUAUUAUGUGGUAUGAAGACUCUAUAAUACUGGUGUAUACUGGAUACAGAUGUAAAGUAUCAAGGGAGCACAGAAGAAAGAAUGAUUAAUUUUGACUCAGGAUAUCAGGAAGGUUUCAAUGGGGAUCUGAUCUUUGGGCAGGGCCUUGAAGGAUGAGUAGGAGUUUGCCAGGUUGAUGAACUGUGAUGGAAGGCAUUGCUAGGCAGAGAGAAUAAUGAAUUGCAUGAGUAGAGGCAGAAAGGCUGCAUUUGGGUCCUUGGUACACCUAUGACCUCUAAGGACUCUGAAGAUUAAUACAAACCUGAGUCCGUGCUUCAGUUUCAUGUGCAUACAGACCAUCUGGGGAUCUUGUUAACGUGCAGAUCCUGAUUCAGAAGGUCUAGGGGGGACUGAAAUUCUGCAUUUCUAACCAGCUCCCAGGGGGCCAUGCACCACCACCUUUUGAGUAAAAAGGCUCUAACACCAUAAACUGUUGUCUACUUCAGCUGGGUCUGCUAGUUGGUGCAACCUAAGAGCAAGAUGGAGAGCACAAAUUUGUCUUUUACUGUGAGCAAGUUAACAAAAAGUACCAGGAACCUCUCUUUUUAAGACUGUGGCAUUUCAGAAACAGAUUCUGCAUUGUACCUGAACUAGCCAGUAAAGCGAGGGUGACUCAUCUUGGAGGUCACGGUACAGGUCACGUGGGAGCAGGCACUGCAGGAAAGGUGAGGGAAGAGUUCAGACCUGCCCGGACAGUUCCUGUGGGUGUAGGCAGCCGGGCAGUGCUGAACUCCUGAGUCUGGGGGUCUGUAGGGGGAGGUGGAAAGGAAAGCAGGACCCAUGGGACUUGCGCAAGUUUUAAAUUGACUGGGGCUCCUGCAGAAUGAUAACAAUCAGAAAACCGCAACCCAAAUGACCAUUUUGGGUUAUUUUGAUGAUGCUUUCUCAGGUGUUUUUCAGUGAGGAAAUAGCUGCAUCAGUUGAGAUGCUCUGGUUUGAAUUCAUGACAAUGUCCUUUCUUAAAAAUAAUGUUUUUUGGGCCAGCCCCAUGGCCGAGUUUGUGUGCUCUGCUGUGGUGGCCCAGGGUUUUGCUGGUUCGGAUCCUCGGCGCAGACAUGGCACCACUCGUCAGGCCACAUUGAGACGGCGUCCCACAUGCCACAACUAGAAGGACCUACAACUAAGAUAUACAACUAGGUACCAGGGGGAUUUGGGGAGAUAGAAGCAGAAAGAAAAAAAACAAAGAUUGGCAACAGUUGUUAGCUCAGGUGCCAAUCUUUAAAAAAAAAAAAAACCUGUUUUUGAUCAUAGAAGUAAUAGUUAUUCUUUGCAGAACAUUUGACAAUAAAUCAUGUUUUUGGGUGGUCAUAGUUAAAUAGACUAUCUGGGCUAAUUUUCUUUUGUUCCUAUUUUCCCUACAUCCCCCAGUCGCCCUUCCUUCCUUGGGGAGCUGGCUCUGGCAAGUGGUUUGGCGAUGUGAUAAACAGAAUCCUGGAGGGCCCACCUAUUGUGCUCAAGACAGACUGUGAUCUCCAAAUGAGAUCACUGGGCUUUUCUUCACUUUCAUCUUCCCUGCUAUUAUGCUGGUUGCGAAAUGCAAUGGGGAGACUUUAUGAGACUAAUAAAGGAGGAGGAAAGAUCAAGUGAUUAGUUUUCACAAGAAGAAUAAUUCUGCUCAUGCCUUCCUUCCCAGGAUGAAGUUUACAACCUGCACAGAUGGACUGGAGCAGACCACAUAGCUGGAAUUUAGCACCCAGGGACUGGGAUAACCUCACUAGCUCUGUGUCCUUGAACAUGCCCCCACAAAGACCUCUGUAGAGACAAGACCAUAUUAGAUCAUACUUGAAUGAUAAGCAAAUAUUAAUGCCAAGGACUCACUAAGAAUAAAAUCAGACAGACACGUGAAUUUGCUGGAGAGAAUUAUAAAAUCAGAGGCUGAAGGAGAUUGGCGAUGAGGACCUCACAAUUCAAAGUCCAUUCAAGACAUCUUUGAUACAUUCCCAAACACAAGGUCAUCUGGAUGCCUGCAUCUUGGGGCUCACUAAAGAGCAUGUUAAUCUCCUGGAAGUGCUUGUUGGAAACGUAGAUGCCUGCUGACCCUGAGAAGCUCCUGGAGACGAUGCUGCUGCAGGUGGGCUGAGCCCAUUGUCUGCGUGUUACUGCCAUCACGGCGUCACACUGGUUGACAAGUGCAGGUCUUGUGCCACUCAGAAAGAAAGUCGUGUUUUCUCUCCCACUGAUCUCUCACCAAGAACUAUGAGUAAAGACUAAAUAAAAGGAACAGGUCUAAAGAAAAACAACACAGAAUAGACAAACCCCCAGUUUUAUAUGGAUGUACUUCUGAAAGGUUGUAUAUAAAUCAGAUUUGUGUGAGUUAAUCUUUACUUUCCCUUCACUUAAAUCUCAACAUGUUAUAGUCACUUUUGAUUUUCAUGUGGGAGUGACUCUGCCACAUUCACUUUAUUUUUCAUCUCCACGUAGCCUCCCCACCAUGAACUUAACUACCUGUGAAUGGACUAAGGAGAAUAAGCAAGAGCAUGGAGGGCCAUCUGCCUCCCGGCAGCAGAGCUCUUCCUCACUGGGGGCCCCCCUCCCACACACUGACAGCUGGGGUCUCAUCUCUCUCGGGGUCACACUGCUGUGGGUUUCCUGCAUCUGUGUGUGGGAUUUGCGUUCUGCCCAAGGCCCUGGCUCUCUCUGCGCUCUGCCCCCGCUGACUGUUCCCUGGCUGACCUGUCAAGUUGUGGCUGGAGACCCAGAAUGACCUAGCCCUUGCCUAUUCCUCAGGAUACACCACCUGUCAGACCAGUUGCCCUGGUUGGGCUGGUCUCCUGUCUGGCUCCACUCUGGGUCAGUACCAUCUACUGACAAGAGGGCCCAGAAGCCAUUCCCAGUUGGAGCUCAUGCUCAUGUGCAUGCUUGGCAGCCAGCAACUCCUACCAGUGUUUGCUACCAGAGUGGGUAAAAUACACGCUCACAAAGAAAGACAGACAACCAAAAAGCUUUUGUCCCCCAACAAUGGUCUCCCCUGAGGUGCUCUAUCUCUUCUUCCUCCUACCUCUCUGCCCUCAAACCCCACAAAUAUGUCUGUCUUGUCCAUGCAAAACCCACUGGAUCCUAUUCUCCUAUUUUUUUACUUGUCUGUCACAAAAUUCCGGGAAACAAAGAAUAAACCAGAUGUCUUACUGCUUAGAGAAGAAUCGCCUUGACGGACCAGAAACCGUUCAAGACUGCUGGUCCCUUCCUCAGAAGAACACAUUUUCCUGUCUCCUCAGUUCUGGCGGCAGGAGUGUUAGAGCUGCUGCUGGGCCUUGGCUAUCUGGCUGUACCAGGGGCUUGCAGGGAGUACCUUGCCAGCCCUGCUCUCUGACACCAGGGGGCUGAUUCAAACCCAGGCCAGGGACAGACAGUGCCAAGCCAAGUGACACUCUCAACCUGGGCUGUCGCAUGGACUUGCUGCUUCAGCGAGAUCCUGAGACACAUCUAAAGACUGAAAAGUCUAAGGAAAGCCAGGCAGGUGACAGAAAUGAGAGAAGCUUGCAGGGAAACAGCCCAAUAAUAAGUGGAGAUUGCCACUGACUUCUCUGUCCUGAAGGGGCAGCCGUCUAGACGCAGUGUUCCCACGACUUUUGAGAUGUAUAUAUAUAUAUAUAUAUCUUGAGAUAUAUAUAUAUACUUUGUGUGUGUGAGUGUGUGAGGAAGAUUGUUGCUGAGCUACCAUCUGUGCCAAUCUUCCUCUACUUUAUGUGGGACGCUGCCACAGUGUGGCUUGAUGAGCAGUGCUAGGUCUGUGCCUGGGAUCCAAAGCUGCAAACCCUGGGCACCCAAAGCAGAGUGCGUGAACUUAACCACUACACCACGGGGCUGGUCCCUUGAUAUAUUUUUUUUAAAGAGAAGCUAGAUAUCUGGGUUUUUAUGUAAAAUCUCUUAAUUAAAGAGCAAUGAUAUCUAAUUCAGGGUUUUUAAAAAUAUCAUGUGGGCCAGACGAGUUGUGUUCAUGGGCCAAAUCUGGGCUGUAGGCUACCAGUCUGUGAUCUCUGGACCAGAUUCUUCCUUUGGAUGUGGCUUCACCUGCUCCUUUUGCUUCUUUACUAUCCUCUCUGGUUUGUCCUUAUGCUCCCAGACUCUCAGCUUGAUUUUACCUUUUGCACCCCUCUUUCUCUAAUUCCUAUCUCCAGGCUCACUUGUGUCCCCCCAGCUGCCUAACACGUGCCCUCCUGGUCUGCCUUCUGCUGCUGCUUCCAGGACACUGGCAGUUGCCUAUGAACACAGCCUUCCCCUGGGAGCACCGGCAUGGGUGAAGGCGCCAUGUGUGUCACAGCAUCCUGAUCCCCUCAUAUCCCCGCAGGCUGAGGGCUUGCUCUCCAAAUACACCAUCUCCAACCACAGGAUUGACCAACCCCAAACCAAGUGUACCUUGCCAGGGUAUCUGAGAACUCCCAGUGGCCACAGGCUUCACGAACCUGCUCUUCUAUAUUCUCUUCCUUCUCUCAGACAGUGAUGACCAAACUUUUUAGAUUGUGCAAUAGAAUAAAGUUUUAAGCAUGCAUAAAAUUUAACUUUAUGUAUUUAUUUUAUGUAUUUAUAUUUAUUUAUAAUUUAUAUGCAUUCUAUUUUUGUAUUAUGUAUAAUAUGUAUGUUCAAAAUGGAAACAGAAAGAAUGACAUAAAAAUAAAUAUAUAUAGAGGGUGUAAUAUUUUCUCCCCACACCCUAGUGGGUUCCCCACUGCUCCAGGAUUUCUUCCAUUUCCACUCUCCAACUUAGAGAAUGUUUGUAUUGAGAAAGUUGGAUCUGUCGGUGAGCUUGGGGCCAGGAAGCAGGAGACUUGCCCACUAGUCCUCUUUUACUAACUCACAAGUUGUUUGAACAGGAGACUAGACCUCAAAGCUCCUGGAUCUCUGGAUACUGACCCUAUGUAGCUACUCAGAUGCUUCCCCGUGCCUGUGGGUUCUAGGCGGCUUCUUCUGGCCUCAUCUGAACAAGGGAAGGAAUUAUGCUAAAUGAUCUCUACAGUCCCAAGAGCACCAACUCUCUAGGAGUCAUAUGUGGGCCAUUUACCCUGGAAGCAUAAAUGAAGCUGACUGGUGUGGGAGGAAUUAUAGCCACUGCCAGUAGUCCUGUUCCUGGGUCCGAACUAAAAGAAUCUUUUGCCACUAUUCCUACCUCUCCUACCUCAAAUCAGUCCCUCUUUGUUUCUCACAUGGACCACCCAGUGCCCUCCUAAAUCAUCUCCCUCCCACCUUUCUUAGGUCCUUCUAAUCCACCCUCCAUAUGGCUGCCUACAGGCGCUUUCUGACCUGUGGGUCUCACCAUAUUAUCGUCCUGGUUGUUUCUUCAGUAGCUCCCCAUUAUCUUUAGGGUAAAAUCUAAACUUCUUAGGUCAGCCUACAAGACCCUAUCUUACCAGCCGGAUCUCUCUCUUUCUUUCUUAAAUCUCCCCCCAAUGCAACUUACGCUCCGCUUACUGCCAACAUCAUAUUCUUUUUAGGAACAUGCCAUGCUGCAUACCUCAUCUGGGUCUUUGCUCACAUUAUUUCCUCAGCCUGAAAUGUCCUCCCUUCUCAUUUCUGUCCUCCCUGCUUUUUUUCUCUAGCUUUUUCACCUUUUUUUUUUUUACACCUCAUUAUGAAAUGGUAAACAUUUGUGAAAUUCAGAAAGUACAUAAAAGAAAAUCAACUAUAGUCUCAUAAACAACGAAUGUUAGUAUUUGGGCAUAGUUCCUCCAAUCUUUCAGACCUUUCCAUUUUUCUUUAUACGAACAUUUUGUACAUGAAUCUUACGUAUUCUAUUGUUUAUUUUACAGUAAUUCUUUUUUCAUGAUUCUAAAAUGUCUUUAAUUUGAUGACAUUACAUUAAUUCUUUAUUCGUAAACGUAUUUCUUUGAAAACUUCUCGAAAAUAUAAUUUUAAAAUUUUUAUUUUAAGAUUUUAGACUUACAGAAGAGUUUCAAAAGUACUAGAGAAUUCCUGCUCACCCUUCACCUAGCUUCUCCCUAAUGUUAACAUCUUAAAUAACUAUAGUACAAUUAUUGAAACGAAAAAACUAACAUUUGGUGCAAUUGUUUUAAUUAAACUACAGACUUUGUUCUGAUUUCAUCAGUUUUUUUCCCAAUAAUGUCCUUCUUGUGUUCUGGGAUCAAUCCCAAAUCCACAUUGUAUUUAGUUGUCACAUCUCCUUACUUGCCUCCAAGAACGUGACAGUUCCUCAGUCUUUAUCUUUUACGACCUUGGGAUUUUUAGAGUGGUAUACAGUUAUUUUGUAGAAUGUCUCCCGAUUUGGGUGUCUCUGAUGUUUUCUCGUGAUUAGGUUGAGAUUCUACAUUACUGGGAAGAAUCUCCCAGGGGUCAUGGCACCCUCGGUGCAUCCUAUGGGGGGCACAUCAUGUCAAUGUGUCUUCUUAUUGGUUUUAACCUGAAUUAUUUGCUUAAGGUGGUGUCUGCUAGGUUUCUCUACCUUAAAGUUACUACUUUUCUCUUUGUAAAUAAUAUUUAUUUAGAGGAGAUACUUUGAGAGCAUACAAAUGUCAUGUUUCUCCUUAAACUUUUGCCUGCUAAUUUUAGCAUCCAUCAGUGGCUCUUGCUUGCAGCAAUUAUUACCAUGGUGUUCUAAUGGUCAUUUUCUAUUUACCUCACUCCUUAUAUUUUUAAACUGGAAUUCUUCUGUAAAGAAGAGUUGUCCCUUCUCCCCAGUUUAUUUAUAUCAGUAUGGACUCGGGGAUAUUUAUUUUAACCUUUGGGUUUUAAUCCAGUACUAUUCUUACUUAUUUUAUUGCUCAAAUUGUUCAAGCCUUGGCCAUUGGGAGCUCUUUCAGGUUGACUUCCAUGCACUUUCAACAGGUCCCCCAUCCUUUUUUUGGAGGGGCCCUUCCUUCCCUUCUGGCAUAACUUGAAUCUUACCUGUUCCAGUCCUGGAAUCCACUGUGUCUCCAAGGAACCAUGAUUCCUUUUGUCAGAGAACGGUAUUUAGAAAUCAAAGCCUAGGUGCUAAGUUGUAUUUUUGGGUCCAAGAAUAUAGUUGUUAUUAAUGGCUCAGUAUUCACGUUGACAGACUCUUUCUCCAAUAAGGUUAAAUUAGCUUACAGUGCCAACAACUAUUUUGCAGUUUUACUAUAACAGAUUGUCUAUUCGGAUGAAUUAUCAUUCAUUUUUCUCUUCCUUCUUCCCUCCUUUCCUUUUUUCUUUCUUUUCUAAUAUAGUGAGAAAAAUGUACUUUAUUUUCCAAUUACAAGUGAGUUUGGGUAUUUCAUUCAUUCAGCAAAACUGCAGUGAUGCUGCCUAGAAAUCAGGUACUGUUCUAGGCACUGGGGAUGUAGCAGUGAGUAAAAUUCCUGUCCACACAGAGCUGGCUUCCAGCAGGGGGAAGAGGCAAUAAAUAAUCACACUCAAUAGUAUUAAAAACGGAGUGAAAAGUGCUAUAGAGAAAAGUAAAGCAGAAGCAGGGGAUGGUACCUUAGUGGGUAAUAUCUGUGAUUUUCAAUAGGCGGUCAGAGAAAGCCUUCCUAAGGUGACAUUUGAACAAAGGCCUAAAAAAGUGAGUUUAAGACAAACCCAUAGCCAACAUCAUACUCAAUGGGCAAAAACUGAACCCCAUCCCCCUGAAAACAGGAACAAGACAAGGAUGCCCUCUAUCACCACUCUUAUUUAACAUAGUACUGGAGGUCCUGGCCAGAGCAAUCAGGCAAGAAAAAGGAAUAAAAGGAAUCCAAAUAGGGAGGGAAGAAGUGAAACUCUUGCUGUUUGCAGAUGACAUGAUCUUAUAUAUAGAAAACCCCAAAGAAUCCAUUGGAAAACUGUUAGAAGUAAUCAACAACUACAGCAAAGUUGCAGGGUAUGAAAUCAAUUUGCAUAAAUCAGUAGCAUUUCUAUACUCCAGUAAUGAACCAACAGAAAAAGAACUCAAGAAUACAAUACCAUUCACAAUCGCAACAAAAAGAAUAAAAUACCUUGGGGUAAAUUUAACUAAGGAAGUGAAGGACCUAUAUAAUGAAAAUUACAAGGCCUUUCUGAGAGAAUUGGAUGACAACAUAAGGAGAUGGAAAGACAUUCCAUG
rnacentral:lncRNA from 1 species